GGGNGAUCCCGCCGGAGGCCACUGCUUUAGGGGUUUGACUAAGCCAUGCGAGUCGAGAGGUUCAAGGCCUCGGCGUACUGCUCAGUAACACGUGGACAAUCUGCCCUGAAGUGGAGAAUAAUCCCGGGAAACUGGGGGUAAUACUCCAUAGUUCGUUAUUACUGGAAUGUAUUUCGAACGAAAGAUCCGUCGCUUCAGGAUGAGUCUGCGGCCGAUUAGGUAGUUGUUGGGGUAAUUGCCCAACAAGCCUGUAAUCGGUACGGGUUGUGGGAGCAAGAGCCCGGAGAUGGAUUCUGAGACACGAAUCCAGGCCCUACGGGGCGCAGCAGGCGCGAAAACUUUACCAUGCGGGCAACCGUGAUAAGGAAACCCCGAGUGCCAGCACAGGCUGGCUGUCCGCCAGUUUAAACAACUGGCGAAGAAAGGGCCGGGCAAGACCGGUGCCAGCCGCCGCGGUAAUACCGGCGGCUCGAGUGGUGGCCGCUAUUACUGGGCUUAGAGGGUCCGUAGCUUGAUAAUAGGGUCCCUUGAGAAAUCCGCCGGCUUAACUGGCGGGCGUUCAAGGGAAACUUGUUUUCUAGGGACCGGGAGAGGUGAGGGGUACUGCCGGGGUAGGAGUGAAAUCCCUGUAAUCCCGGUG
rnacentral:rRNA from 1 species